rnacentral:lncRNA from 1 species
GUUCCAAUUAAAAUCUGGCAGCAGUCCCUCAGACCUGUGAAGGCAAUGCUGUGAGCGUGUCAGCGUCACGGGUAGCUCAUGCAAUCUGUCUCCAGCUCCCGCAAAUCAGCUUCUUUUUCAAUGAAAAAUAAAUGUUUUGGAGCCCUUUAUUUAUCAGCGUGCUGCGACAGGGCCGGCCGGGUCUCAGGAGGGGUGACAUGGCGUUGCGGAAAGAGUGCUGGGUUUGAAGAUCACCUCUGCUUGCUCUCACUGUAGUUUGGUGACUAUAGGAUGGAUAACAGUCCUAAUCAUUCUUAAAUAUGGAAACAUAGAGCCAUGUGUGUUCAUCAAUGGCACACGAGCCAUCUUAGCUGGCACACUGCCACAGUCUACGUGGAGAACAGCUGGGAUCUGACUGCUUCUGCAAAACGUAUUAAGCACAACUUCAAAUCCAUGGACCACCUGCAACCAGGGCCCCUGUGCAGUUCUUUCCAGUGGGAUGAGAGCACAAGUGAUGAAUGUGGCUUCCCAAUUGACACCGAGAAGGUGGCGCCUUGGGGAGCAGUUUUCAUCCUCCAAGCCCCAGGGCAUGGGCUUAUGAAGAGAUGGCUGCAGUUCUGAGCAGAGGAGCAACUUUGUGGUCUCCACGUGGCAACAGCUCCUGGAAGGGCCCAGGCACUCAGGACCUGGGCACUUUGAAAUCCUCCUGAGUGCUAAGGAACGCAGCCACUGGCCUCUUGCACAGCCCAGGUCCUCUCGCUGCCGUCUACCCAGCAUCAACAAGGGUGCGGAAUUUGUGAGAUAAUCGGGUUAUCAUUUGGCUGCAUAAAAAUUUGUUUUUUUAAUAAAAGAAUCUUUAUUUUACUACCUACCCA